rnacentral:rRNA from 1 species
GGUGAACGCUGGCGGUAGGCCUAACACAUGCCAGUCGAACGGCAGCACAGUAAGAGCUUGCUCUUACGGGUGGCGAGUGGCGGACGGGUGAGGAAUACAUCGGAAUCUACUUUUUCGUGGGGGGUAACGUAGGGAAACUUACGCUAAUACCGCAUACGACCUACGGGUGAAAGCAGGGGAUCUUCGGACCUUGCGCGAUUGAAUGAGCCGAUGUCGGAUUAGCUAGUUGGCGGGGUAAAGGCCCACCAAGGCGACGAUCCGUAGCUGGUCUGAGAGGAUGAUCAGCCACACUGGAACUGAGACACGGUCCAGACUCCUACGGGAGGCAGCAGUGGGGAAUAUUGGACAAUGGGCGCAAGCCUGAUCCAGCCAUACCGCGUGGGUGAAGAAGGCCUUCGGGUUGUAAAGCCCUUUUGUUGGGAAAGAAAAGCAGCAGGUUAAUACCCCGCUGUUCUGACGGUACCCAAAGAAUAAGCACCGGCUAACUUCGUG